AACAAACGCUGGCGGCAGGCCUAACACAUGCAAGUCGAGCGAGCAUUUCGGUGCUAGCGGCGGACGGGUGAGUAACGCGUGGGAACGUGCCCUUUUCUGCGGAAUAGUCCUGGGAAACUGGGGGUAAUACCGCAUACGCCCUUUUGGGGAAAGAUUUAUCGGAGAAGGAUCGGCCCGCGUUGGAUUAGGUAGUUGGUGGGGUAAUGGCCCACCAAGCCGACGAUCCAUAGCUGGUUUGAGAGGAUGAUCAGCCACACUGGGACUGAGACACGGCCCAGACUCCUACGGGAGGCAGCAGUGGGGAAUCUUAGACAAUGGGGGCAACCCUGAUCUAGCCAUGCCGCGUGAGUGAUGAAGGCCUUAGGGUUGUAAAGCUCUUUCAGCUGGGAAGAUAAUGACGGUACCAGCAGAAGAAGCCCCGGCUAACUCCGUG
rnacentral:rRNA from 1 species